UGAGGAAUAUUGGUCAAUGGGCGCGAGCCUGAACCAGCCAAGUAGCGUGCAGGAUGACGGCCCUAUGGGUUGUAAACUGCUUUUGUAUGGGGAUAAAGUCAAUCACGUGUGAUUGUUUGCAGGUACCAUACGAAUAAGGACCGGCUAAUUCCGUGCCAGCAGCCGCGGUAAUACGGAAGGUCCGGGCGUUAUCCGGAUUUAUUGGGUUUAAAGGGAGCGUAGGCCGGAGAUUAAGUGUGUUGUGAAAUGUAGACGCUCAACGUCUGACUUGCAGCGCAUACUGGUUUCCUUGAGUACGCACAACGUUGGCGGAAUUCGUCGUGUAGCGGUGAAAUGCUUAGAUAUGACGAAGAACUCCGAUUGCGAAGGCAGCUGACGGGAGCGCAACUGACGCUUAAGCUCGAAGGUGCGGGUAUCGAACAGGAUUAGAUACCCUGGUAGUCCGCACAGUAAACGAUGGAUGCCCGCUGUUGGUACCUGGUAUCAGCGGCUAAGCGAAAGCAUUAAGCAUCCCACCUGGGGAGUACGUCGGCACGGU
rnacentral:rRNA from 1 species